UCAAUACAUACCUCUGUUCUAAUAGAGAUCAGUUAUACUUAAACCCACCCCUGCCUGAAAGCCCCCUGAUUUAAUAAAAAAUUCUUUUUACCCAGAAAUAUUACCACAAGAUUGUGGAGAUGUAUUUGCAGAGGUGUAAAAAUACUUGAAUAACAUGGAAAAGUUGCAGCUGACAACCUCUAGGGAAAACUCUUCAAACCCAUUAGCUAUCCAGAUCCCAGUGGAAGCCACUAUCUUUGAAGAAAACACUUCAUCAUACCUCAGCUGUGCAACUCCAACGACAUCUGCAGAUCCCGCUAGUAGCUUGUGACAAAAACCUAAAACUGCCACCACUGCUGAGCAAAUUCAUCAGCUGAGUGACUAAUGGGAGACACCCUGAGAGGCAGAGGUAAAGUGAUGUACUAGACAAGUCACUGCACUGAGGUUUAGAAAAAUUGCAUUAAAUCUGGCUCAGGCCCUGAACAGUGAGUUAUUUCAACUCCCUGAGGUCUCCUUGUCUGUUCAACUGGGACUGUAAACUGCCUCAAGCAAGGACAUACAUCCACUGCCUAUGUCCAUAACAUCAUUAAGAAAAAGGUCUCAAUUACACUUGCCGUCUGUCAGCACCAUGCAAUCAAAUUUGACAUACCAUCAUAUGACAUCCAAACAGGGAGGGCUUUUCCCUACAUCAUAGGCACUGAUUUCUUCAGAAAUUGCACACUUUUUGAACUGCAAAGUAGUAUUACACUUUCUGUAAGACUGCAACAUGUCUUCUAAAAAACCUCUCCCCCAUUUGCUUUUUGCUUCUGGCCAUGACUGCAUCUCACCAGAAACCUAAGUUUGUGACCAUAAAGAAAGGUAGGUAUGAAAUUUAAUAGAUUGUGACUGCGACUGCAAACUUCAAAAUAUAAGAUCAAAUAUUCAUAUUAAGCUUUAGUAAACAACUCCUCAUUGCAAAUACUUACAAGCAGUGCUAGGUGCUUUUUUUAGGAUGUGAUAUUUUGCAGGUGGCCUCUGACAGGGAGCUGAUAGCAACUACUGAAGCCAUGAUUGUGAUUAGCCUGGCACCACACACAAGCUAGCAGCACUUAACGCACCCAGCUACUCAGAAAAACUUAUUAGCUAGGACCUGACCCAACACAAGUUCCGGUCAGUUUUGACUGCAAGAGCUGGUUUGUUUCCU